rnacentral:rRNA from 1 species
GAUGAACGCUGGCGGCGUGCCUAAUACAUGCAAGUCGAGCGAAGCGGGGACGGGUGAGUAACACGUGGGUAACCUCCUAUAAGACUGGGAUAACUUCGGGAAACCGGAGCUAAACCGGAUAAUUAUAGAUGACUCCACGCUGCAUUAGCUAGUUGGUAAGGUAACGGCUUACCAAGGCAACGAUGCAUAGCCGACCUGAGAGGGUGAUCGGCCACACUGGAACUGAGACACGGUCCAGACUCCUACGGGAGGCCGCAGGAGUGAAUCUUCCGCAAUGGGCGAAAGCCUGACGGAGUAACGCCGCGUGAGUGAUGAAGGUCUUCGGAGCGUAAAACUCUGUUAUGAGGGAAGCGGUACCUAAUCAGAAAGCACCGGCUAACUACGUGCCAGCAGCCGCGGUAAUAC